rnacentral:miRNA from 1 species
UGUGUGUGUGUGUGUGUGUGUGUGUGUGUGUGUAUAUAUAUAUAUAUAUAUACACACACACAUAUAUAUAUAUACACACACACACACACACACACACACACACAUA